rnacentral:pre_miRNA from 1 species
AUAAUACUCCCUCCAUCCGGAAUUACUUGUCAUCAAAAUGGAUGUGUCUAGAAUUAAAAUACAUCUAGAUACAUCCAUUUCAAUGACAAGUAUUUUCGGACGGAGGGAGUAGUAG